GUCGAACGAGAAAGUCCGCAAGGAUGAGUACAGUGGCGACCGGGUGAGUACACGUGACUAACCUACCUCUUAGUGGGGAAUAACUCCGGGAAACCGGAGCUAAUACCGCAUAACAUCGCAAGAUCAAAGCCGAAAGGCGCUGGGAGAGGGGGUCGCGGCUGAUUAGCUAGUUGGUAGGGUAACGGCCUACCAAGGCGAAGAUCGGUAUCCGGCCUGAGAGGGCGCACGGACGCACUGGAACUGAAACACGGUCCAGACUCCUACGGGAGGCAGCAGUGGGGAAUUUUGCGCAAUGGGGGAAACCCUGACGCAGCAACGCCGCGUGGAGGAUGAAGUCCCUUGGGAUGUAAACUCCUUUCGACCCGGACGAUACUGACGGUACGGGUGGAAGAAGCACCGGCUAACUCUGUGCCAGCAGCCGCGGUAAUACAGAGGGUGCGAGCGUUGUUCGGAAUUAUUGGGCGUAAAGGGCGCGUAGGCGGUGCGGUAAGUCACCUGUGAAAUCUCCUGGCUCAACUGGGAGCUUGCAGGCGAAACUGGCGUGCUGGAGUGUGGGAGAGGUGCGUGGAAUUCCCGGUGUAGCGGUGAAAUGCGUAGAU
rnacentral:rRNA from 1 species